UGUAGAAGUUUCAUUUAAAAGACACCAGCUGUGGUCCUAGUCAGGUUUAUUCAUUUGGGACCUUUACAGGGUCAACUUAAUACUUGACUACUGCUUAUUAUCCCAUCAGUCUUCAGGGACAACCCAUGAUCUAAUUGCCCAGCAUUUAUGUUGCUUGGCAACCAUAAAUAGAGAAUAAUAAUCCUUAAAGGGACAGUGUAGAAUUUCAUGCCCCUGCAGUGAAGUACACUUCAUUUCCCAGAACACCCUGUGUUUUUUAAUUCAGUGAAUAAAAAUGUGUAAUGAAUAAUUAAUUAUGUGCUUGGAGGCACAAUAGCUGCCUACUUUUGAAUAUUCAUCAGUGGCAUUAUUAAUUCACUAGAAAUCCCAAGGAGCAAUGGGGUAAGCUUUUAGCUUAGCUGGAGGACUUAAAAGAUAAUUCUUUGCAACGUGAACAAACUUUUUUUAAGCAGACUUUUCUGGGGAGACAAUUUCUGUUUAAUUUUCCUCUUUUGCAAAUUCUCACUGCUGCAUGCUUGUCCACUCCAUACAUUAGCAGUAAGGCAGAAGGAAGGGAUAGUUUUCUGGUUAAAAAAGGAAGGACUGACUGCCAUUCGCUUCCAGGAGAGACAGCAAAGAAGAGAGCAUGACAUUUUGGGGGCAGCCAUGCCACUCGAACUCUUCUGGGAAGGAUGCUGACAAGAGAAAUAUUCCUGCUGCCUCCAAGUUUGCUUUUAUGGGGCAUUCGAAUUUAGAAUUUAGAACUGUAGAGUUGGAAGAGGUCUGUGAGUCACCUCACCACAUUAUACCAGAACUAACAGAGACUUCAGAAGAGCAGAACAUAGAAUGGUAGACCCGCAGUUAGUUCUUCCUGCUCUUGCUGUGGGUAGGAGCUGCUAAGCUUUCUCCCUUGUUUGGCUUUCUUUCAUCGCUAUUGUUUUUUCUCCUUUUGGGCAUCUCAGACUGUUCUUAUUCUGGCUAAGGUGAAAGGUGUCUCUGCUUCUUCUUCAUCAGUCUUGAUAUAUGCAACUUUAAGAAGAGCAAGAACAGUAAAUACACAACAGGGGUGGAUACUUUUUUUAUUACCUUCUGUGACAAGACUCUUGAACUUUGGAGUAGCUUUUCCCUGAUAAGGAUCUUGGAGACAGUUCUAUUACAUGUGAAAUUUGGAAAUUCUCUUCUGAGGAAGAAAGAAGAAGCCUUCUUAGUGAUUAAUGAUUCCUUUGGAGACUUGACUAUAACUCAUAUCCUCCUGAAGAUUUUUUCUCUCCAGUUUGAUGAUCCAGUUGGACAGUUUCUAGUUGUUUGUCAUUCCUCAGAUCAGAAUGGUACAUCUUCUGGACUGGUGAGGACAGCAAAUGAUGGUGGCACAGAUCAAUGGCAAGAGUCUGAUUAGAAUGAGAAGAAAUCAUUGGUUCAACCCAGAGACAUUACAGGGGUCUAGGGGCGGGGUACAGUAAUCUCUCCAGGUCUUGUAUUCUGGGGCUGGUAUCUGUGAAUAUGUCCGAUGGCUGUACAUUAGAUAUAUCAAAUUAGAUAUCCUGUAUACAUAUUAAACUCAAUCUAUCCAAAACUAAACUCAUUAUCUUUUCCCCAAAACUCUCCCCUCUUUCAGACUUUUCUAUUAUUUUUUAGGACAUCACCAUGGCACCUAGACAGUCCCCCAGGCACACAAACUAGAUAUUAUAUUUGAUUCCUCAUUAUCUCUCAACCCCCCCUCCAAGCCCAUAUCAAUCUAUUGCCAACAUCUGUCAAUUUUCCUUUAAUAUAUUUCUCAAAUAUAACCCCUUCUCUCCUCUGAUAUGCUGCUACUCUGCUGGAAGACUAGGACAAUAGUCUGCCUGCCACAAGACGUUUAUUUCUCCAGCCUGUUCUCCACUCAGUGGCCAAAAUGAUUUUCCUAAAGCACAGGUCUGACCAUUUUGCACCCCCACCCCUUCUCAACAAACUCCAAUGGCUCCCUAUUGCCCCCAGGAUAGAAGAUAAAAUUUCUGACAUUCAAAGCCCUUCAUAACCUCCUUCCUUUCACCAUUCUGGUCUUCCUACACCUUACACAUUCCUACACACUUUUUGUCUCACUGAUACUGGCCCCCAGGAACUUGCUGUUCCUUAUCUCUAGACUUUAUACAUUUUUUUUUAAAAAACCCUUACCUUCCUUUUUGGAGUCAAUACUGUGUAUUGGCUCCAAGGCAGAAGAGUGGUAAGGGUAGGCAAUGGGGGUCAAGUGACUUGCCCAGGGUCACACAAGACUUUAUACAUUUUUACUGGUUGUUCUCCAUGCCUGCAAUACUCUCCCUCCUGACUUCCCUAGUGUAGCAUACCAGGCAUGUUAGCAUCUUAGAAGUAUGGUUGAUGUAUUGAUAUUGCAUCCUAUAUAUUCAUUUACCAGACACAUGGUCAGAUCACUUAAUGUUCAUUGUAUAGAAGUUACAGUCCAAAGGGCAAGAGAAUUCCUGAGUGGCCACAGUGUCUUACCUCAAAACUUGUUAGACCACAUUCCUUUACAAGGUGCAUGUCAGGUUAAUCUCCACCUCUUUGAUUUCUUCAUUGUCAAUCAACCAAUGUUAAAACCUAUGCCAUGUUAUGUAUUCAUUGAUCACCUCCCAAUCCACGUUCCUAAAACCUCCAAUAAAUACUGGGGGACAAGUGCGAAUCUCUCUCUUACUUCCCCGGAUCUUCUGAUUGCUCUGUCCUAUCUUUUUCCUCCUGAUCUCUCUUUUCUCAUGAUGCUGUCGCCCCCAUGCUUCCUAUUAAUCCUCUGACACUCUUGUCCAUAGGAGGCAUUAAGGAGUUCUUACUCCCCACCUGUUUUCUUAUUCCUCAUAUUUCCCAUUAAUUCUCUGGCACACUUGUCAAUGGGAAAUAUUCACGGAGAUGGCGACUCCCCACAUGUUUUAACUUGUCUCUGAGUCUUUAUUAUUCACCUAUUUCUCCCUUCUCCUUCUCAGGUUAUCACCCACAGGCAAAAUAUAUAGGAACUGCAGGCUGGUCUCUAUACCUAGUUUCCUUCAAGUCCCAACUAAAAAUCCCGCUUUUUACAAGAAGAUUUUCCCAAUCCCUCUUAUGACUGUUUCCUCAUUCUCCUGUCUAUGUCUUGUUUGUAUGUACUUAUUUGCAUUUUGUCUCUCCCAUCAGAUUGGGAGCUCCUAGAGGGUGAAGACUGUUUUUUGUCUUUCUUUGUGUCCCCAGCAUUUGUCAUGGGGCCUAACACUCAUUAGGUUCUUAAUAAAUGUUUAUUGGCUGACUGAGUUUCUCAGUAGUGACUCAUGAAAAGAAUGGAGAUUUUUUUUUACCUAUGGCAGAAAUAAUCUAGUAAUAUUCCUAUAUGCAAAAUUAAUCUGUAAACUGUUACUUUCCAAUUCACCUUUUUGGUUUCCUUCACCCAAAUUCUUCCCCAUUCUGCCCUGUUUUGCCCACAUUGAUCUGAUGAUUAUGCCGUCUCCCAGUUUAAGGAGGAUCUUGAUUUUCAUUUUAACUUUAUUUCACCUGAUUAUAAUUGUUGGGGCUUUGGUGGAGGAUGAGGGUGAGGGUAUUCAUCCUUGUCCUUUUAUCCUCACCACACCACAAAUGACUUUUGGUUGC